rnacentral:other from 1 species
AAUACCCUGCCGGGUUCGUGAAUAGGCCGAGUCUCUGACCCUAGAUUUAUUAGAGGGAGCUUGAAUAGGACGUUAACCCUACGCCUUCUCCACGGAAGGAUUGGGUGAUCGUCUUCUAAAGCACCCACCUGUUCUUCAUGGAACGGGGAUGACAGCCUCUGCGACGCUUGGUGGGGUAUUU